rnacentral:tRNA from 1 species
GGAGGGAUAGCGAAGCAUGGCCAACCGCGCAGGACUCAAGAUCAAUUUGCAACCAUGAGGGAUCCCGUCCCUUAGGGGUUCGUGGGUUCGAAUCCCACUCCCUCCA